rnacentral:rRNA from 1 species
UACAGAGACUGCAAGCGUUGUUCGGAUUCAUUGGGCGUAAAGGGUGCGCAGGCGGUUCUUUAAGUCGGAUGGUAAAUCUCACCGCCUAACUGUUAUAGGUCAUUCGAAACUGGCGGACUUGAGGGCUGGAGAGGAGACUGGAAUAGUCGGUGUAGCGGUGAAAUGCGUAGAGAUCGACUAGAACACCGGUGGCGAAGGCGAGUCUCUGGACAGUUCCUGACGCUCAGGCACGAAAGCCAGGGGAGCAAACGGG